GACGAACGCUGGCGGCGUGCUUAACACAUGCAAGUCGAACGGCAGCAUAAUUUGUAGCAAUACAAAUGGAUGGCGAGUGGCGGACGGGUGAGUAACACGUAGGAAUCUGCCCUAAAGAGGGGGAUAACCCGAGGAAACUCGGGCUAAUACCGCAUAAUCUCUGAGGAGAAAAGCUGGGGUAACCUGGCGCUUUAGGAGGAGCCUGCGUCUGAUUAGCUAGUUGGUGGGGUAAAGGCCACCAAGGCGACGAUCAGUAGCUGGUCUGAGAGGAUGAUCAGCCACACUGGGACUGAGACACGGCCCAGACUCCUACGGGAGGCAGCAGUGGGGAAUAUUGGACAAUGGGGGCAACCCUGAUCCAGCAAUACCGCGUGUGUG
rnacentral:rRNA from 1 species